GGCAGUCAGCUGGUUACCACACCACUUUUAGUUUUAUUUUCCCUUGUGUGUGAUUCCUGUUCCUGCUCCUCUUUGCUGCAAACACCUCACCACUACGCAGGCAACGGCGAAAGUCGGGAAACGGAGGGGACGUCCACUGCUCCCCUCUGGCCACCAACGACAGCGGGGGAGUCUUGAGACCGACCGAAAACAGCAAAAGAUUCCAGAUCACAGAGACCAGGAGGGAUGGGUAACAGAAGCACCAUCUUACCUGAUAAUCACCGUGUCCAUGGCAGUGAAGUACAGUUAUUAUUUGCAAUUUCGUUCCUGGUGCACUUAAGCAAUAUGUACCAUUUUUAGCUAAAUUUUUUAUCUAAUGCAGACAAUCGGUCUUUGAAUUAAGAUUUCGUUUGGUUUUGAAAUGACAAUAUGAACCACUUACCUCGCCACGUGCAACCGCCUCGUUAGGUACAAGAAGUUCCGGAUAAACAUUAUCCAAAUACCAUUUGAAACUUUUGCAUCCCAACUUCUCCCUAAAAUGGCAAGAAAACAUAUCAAAUUGAUGAGGUAGACUGGAGUUACCUUAACUUACCUCAAUUUCUUGCGAUCUGAGACAUCCGUUGCAAGGCUUUUAUUACCGCCACUUCGUUCAUAAUAAUAUUUAGCAUAAUCAUCCAGCCAGACCUCAGCCAAACGCGCCAAAUUGCUUUCUACCAUCAUCGCUCUAGAACUAGGCCACUGUAAGAAGGAUCAUAAAUAUGUCUACCUUGUGAGUGGUCGAUGAAAAUAUUUGGCCGAAAACACGAAUUAGCCCAUAUGCUAUGAAAACAGGAGCCAAACCAGCUAGCACGGAUGCUAAUUACCCAAGUGACUCGUUCUAAGGCUAAUUAGAGUUCUGUUGAGCCUACUGCGACAGUCUGACUAGUGCUUAUUGUGCUCUUCUUGUGUAAAAUUUUUGUUGUUUUUGCUGGACUCCUAACUUAUGCUAUGUCUCUAUCAAACUGCCAAAUUAGUGGCUCACAGUGUAAUUGGAGAAACGAAUAGAAAGGGCGAAAAAGUGGUAGCGGUAGUGAGGGAAAGGCGAAAUGCGUAGCCACAAUGGAUGUCUAUGUUUAUGUUUUAUGUAACCAACUCGUCCCGCCCUCUUCACCUCUCCAUCACUUUCACGCUCCCUAUGCUGGUCUGUGGCUGGCAUGUGCGACAUGUACACAGAAAGAGGCUUUGGUUCCUGAAUAUGGAAUGGUUGGUGCUUGGUUGAUGGUGGUUUACGGAGAACCACAUUGGCCCACAGUUGACCAAACACGAAUCUCAACUGGUAGAAGCUGCUGGUCCUGAGGCAGCCCACACAAAGGCUCACACACGCACACAUAAAAUCCAACACGUGACGUUGUGUAAGAGUUUUAAAUUGUUCCCCUGCCCCCCCAACCAACAUGACCCACACGUUUCUCCCAUUCACCCAGUUGGUGGUGGGCGUUAAUGAGGAGGCAAGUGUAUAAAUAUUGGUUUUGCCUUUGGCUCACAAUGUGUUUAAGCAAUUUCGGUCGAAUAGGGCUAAACAAUGUGAUUAUUUUGCAUUUACGAAUGAAUAAUUUUAAUUCAAAGCAAUUUUUACCUCAUAUGGAGAGUCAUCGCGGAAUAUGUGACCCACAUGGGAGCAGGGUAUAAUUUCCAAAAUACCGCCACACAUCCAUGUCUUGAAGGAUAACUCUAAAUUAUCACCGCCCCAGAUAUUGAAGCCAGGAUCAUAAGUACCCACGCUCCUAAAGAACUCAAGAUCUAUGGCAAAGAGGCCACCAGCUAUGGUCGGCGUUUGAAUUGGCUCUGCAAAGUGCUGAAAAAAGAGAGAAAUUGUUAUUAGAGAAGUAGGAAAUGUUUGCUCUUCGUUAAGAGCCGGUGCCAAUUCUAACAAAUUAAGGUUUAUUAUGCAAGUGGACAAACAAAAGCCAGAGCAGUAGCAGCUGCUGCAGAUAAAGGACUUUACAAAAUAAUUAAAAAUAAAUAAAAAGCAACAAAAUUGAGAACUACAUUUUAAUUUGCUGUUUAAUGAAAUAUAAAUUGAAUGCAA